CAGCCGCACGGUAAUACGAAGGGGGCUAGCGUUGCUCGGAAUUACUGGGCGUAAAGGGAGCGUAGGCGGACAUUUAAGUCAGGGGUGAAAUCCCAGAGCUCAACUCUGGAACUGCCUUUGAUACUGGGUGUCUUGAGUGUGAUAGAGGUAUGUGGAACUCCGAGUGUAGAGGUGAAAUUCGUAGAUAUUCGGAAGAACACCAGUGGCGAAGGCGACAUACUGGAUCAUUACUGACGCUGAGGCUCGAAAGCGUGGGGAGCAAACAGGAUUAGAUACCCGCGUAGUCCCUGUCUCUUAUACA
rnacentral:rRNA from 1 species